rnacentral:rRNA from 1 species
UACGGGGGGGGGCAAGCGUUGUUCGGAAUUACUGGGCGUAAAGGGCUCGUAGGUUGCCAACUAAGUCAGACGUGAAAUCCCUCGGCUUAACCGGGGAACUGCGUCUGAUACUGGAUGGCUUGAGUUUGGGAGAGGGAUGCGGAAUUCCAGGUGUAGCGGUGAAAUGCGUAGAUAUCUGGAGGAACACCGGUGGCGAAGGCGGCAUCCUGGACCGAGA